ensembl:snoRNA small nucleolar RNA SNORA2/SNORA34 family
CUGGCCCUGAAUCAAGGCCAGCGGCUUCCUGACACUGUUAAUUUCAAGCAGGAGCCUAAAGAGAUGUCUUUCUAUGGUCUGUUGGCAGAACAGAAUUUGGCAGUGAAAUGGUCAAUUUAUUAGAAAGAAACAGCU